GUUCCUAUUCCCAGAUACUCUGAUUCCAGUAAUCUAGUACUUGAAACUAAUCAACUGAGGCUCCCCAACUCAUUCGCAGCCAGUUCAAGCCUUCUGCAACGACAGAUAAAUCUCACUCAGCAUCAAGUUAAGAGCGAACAAAUUCAAGGCAAUAAUUUGGGAAUUACCUUUCCUAUUAAUUCAGUCACCCCCUAUGGGG